GUAACGUGUGGUUGCAGAGGGUGCGUGUUCGUUAAAGUGUUCCAGAGUAGGGGGGGUAUAUUUACACUGUUAAGGUGUGCCUGCUUGAUGAUGUCUUGUGUCUCGUCCCUGCUGCUGUUGGAGUCGUUCACCUUUUUGCUUGGGUCCUUUAGCCUAUCCUUAAGAGUAUGGGUCGGUGUAUAAGGACGUUGUGAGCUAGUAUGCCUG